AUUGAACGCUGGCGGAAUGCUUUACACAUGCAAGUCGAACGGCAGCACGGGGGCAGCCCUGGUGGCGAGUGGCGAACGGGUGAGUAAUACAUCGGAACGUGCCCGGUCGUGGGGGAUAACGUAGCGACAGUUACGCUAAUACCGCAUACGAUCUGAGGAUGAAAGCGGGGGACCUUCGGGCCUCGCGCGAUCGGAGCAGCCGAUGUCAGAUUAGGUAGUUGGUGGGGUAAAGGCCUACCAAGCCGACGAUCCGUAGCUGGUCUGAGAGGACGACCAGCCACACUGGGACUGAGACACGGCCCAGACUCCUACGGGAGGCAGCAGUGGGGAAUUUUGGACAAUGGGCGCAAGCCUGAUCCAGCCAUUCCGCGUGCAGGACGAAGGCCUUCGGGUUGUAAACUGCUUUUGUACGGAACGAAAAGGCUCUGGCUAAUACCUGGGGCUCAUGACGGUACCGUAAGAAUAAGCACCGGCUAACUACGUG
rnacentral:rRNA from 1 species